GUGCUCGCUUCAGUAGCAUAUACACUAAAACUGGAACAAUUCAGAGAUUAGCAUGGCCCCUGCACAAAGAUGACAUGCAAAUUCAUGAAACAUUUCUGAACUUA
ensembl:snRNA U6 U6 spliceosomal RNA